GGGGACGUAGCUCAAUUGGGAGAGCGUCGCGUUCGCAAUGCGAAGGUCGUGGGUUCGAAUCCCAUCGUCUCCA
rnacentral:tRNA from 1 species